CGUCCAAUCCGGUUGACACAGUGAAUUUGCAAUCCCACUUUUCACAGCAGCCGUCGGAUAUGGUAAUUUUUUGUUCACUUCGUGCUUGUCUGAACAGGUCAAUGACAGCUGGGCCCGUCUACGUGUGGGGCAGGUGUUUCAGCCAGCGAACCAGCUUAAUGAUCAGGUGCACGUCGCACACAUGUCCCGCUGUGAAAACCUAGAUCUUCAUUGGCAAAAAUAUCUGCGGCCUCCACUCCGGCUUCCCACUUCGAGCCGCCGCCCUCUCGUCUCCUCUCUCCCGCGGCCUCCGCUCCCCACUCCUGUCGGCGGGCAGAGGCGGGCGAGCUCGACGAGUACCUCGCGCGGGGCGGGGCGUCAGUGGGGCGAGCGCGCGCGGCGAACGGCGGGGCGAGCGGUCAUGGCUAGGGGAAGAAGAUGCGACGGCCAUGGCGGCUGAUGCCUGACGGCAGGAGCGAGUCUGAGAGAGGCUAGCGGCGCGGACGAGGCAUGAGGCAAGCGCACUGCCGGAGCUCAUAUCUUGGUUCACGGACGAGGCCGAGAUGUGCAGAGGAUCCGCACGCGCUGCUCAGCCCCGCUGGUGGCGUCCUCCUCGACGGAUGGUGCUGCAGACCAGAGCGACGAGUCGCGGGAGCUUGCCGCGGAUGUGCAGCUCGUUUGCCUGUGGGGGGCCCGCCGAAGCUUCCUCCUCGACAGAUGGUGGUGCGGAGCAGAACGACGAGUCGCCGGAGCUCGUCGCGCGUAUGCAGCUCGUCGGCCUGUGGGGGCCACGCGCCGGUCGCCCACGCCCUUCUUCCCCGUCUCAUCCUCCGUCAGGUAGAUGAGCUUUUGCUUCCUCUCUCUGUCUCCCCUAGAUUUCCUUGCUGGUACUGUGUUGUGUUUUUGUGCUGUUGCUUUGUGGGCUACUUCUGCUACUCGUGCUGCUAUAUGUGCGUGUUGCUGGUUGUAAAUGUGGUCAGUGCCGUUGUGUACUGCUAGAUCUACUGCUGCCAAGCCUAGCUGCUGCCUUUGCUGCUGCUCGUUGCUUCCUUAAUCGAUGUGUGUUGUUGCUAACAUUUUCUCUGACGACAGCAAGAGUAAGAGAGCAAGACUUGUUGGAUGUUUGCCAAGGAUAAUUUUUGCACCUCAUAUUUUCAAGAAUAUAUGGGUAUAUUUAAUGAUAUGUCCUUUAGAGGCGCCUUUUGAGAUACAAUGCAUGGUUCUAUCUUUUGUGCAUUGACCCUAUUUGACGGUAAUUAAUUUUGAUUCUGUUCUAAAUGGCAAGGUCUGGUAGACUUGCAGCCUGAAGGUGUGGAGGUACCUCACAGCCUUGUUGACAAGGGCAUGCAAAGGCAAGAUCAAGAUUAUGCCAGACCAUAAAGUUAUUUGGCUGAAUCCUCUUAUAUGAAGCAAGUGCACUGUGCAGAUUACAUAUACGUUUUGGACAUGGAGCCACAUUCAUUGCCAGUAAGAUCAUUUUCUGCAUCCACUAUCGGCGAUCGAAGAGGCAUACGUUGAGUUUGGGUGCCCAGGAGACGGCAACGUUGGUGUCCAUGUGUCCUGCUGCAGGUGUUGCCGCUUCUGAAGCGAUGGAGAGGAGCAACGGAUGAUAGCUUGGGGAUACUUGAUAGAGACUGUCAUUGAGCUCCCCAAAUCACUAGCUGAUGAGGGAAGCAGGGGUACAUGGAUGCUAGGAUGGAGGCAACAAAGAAUUGUUCUCAGUUGGAAGCUUUCCCUUGAGUCUCGGACAGAUGCUUACUGAAGUACGACCUGAAGUGAAAACGAAUGUUCCAGCACUGAAGCUCCAGCUGAAGAUGGCAAUGAUGUCAUUGAGCUUCCUCAUGUACCUUUUAAAGCACUACAGAUGCAAUAAGCUCCAAGGAUAACAGUUUUGGGAGAGGCAGUACCUACUUAGUCGGACGGAACUGACCUGAACAGCAUACUGUAUGUAUGCAGAACCUCGUCUCCUCAAGAUGGCUGCAGUUAACCUAGAUAAUACAACCUCAAGCGACGCCGGCAACAAACACCCCCAACCAGGAUUCGGCUGUCCAGAAGAUUCAGAGACAGUGACAACGGCCCUCUGCAGAACAGGCAGGAAACACAUGAUCAUUGAUGUUCAGCUUGAUUACCACAACAACAUAGUUUAUUCUUUGUGCGAAGUGUUGCGCAUCACUAUGCCUCCCUCCACAUCAAGUGCAUCAAGGAUUUAGGAUGAUAAUGUUGUAGAUGCCAACGAUGAGGAUUAUUGAUGUGUAUAUUGUGCCACAUUCAAAAUUAUUUUCUAAAGUGCAUGUUCAUAGAUGGUGAUCACUAGCUUGCCACCGCAUGAAGGACCUAACCUGAGCUUUCACGCACUUGAUGAACAAUUUGACCUGUUAGAUAAAGUUUUGAAUACAUGGGAUAACAUGGUUGGUGUUGAGCACUUGGAAGAGGAUUCUGAUGGCAAGGCGAGACUGAAGGCUCGGCAUUCUGCUGGAUAAAUGAGCGCCUCCCGGAGAGGGUGUGGAAUGGUCUACAUGGAGUACAAGUGCUGCCUCGCUGUAUUUCCAUUUGAUUUUUGCCUCUAUACUGUAAUUUCAUUGUAGUUUGUUUUCUGAAUGCUUACGUGCGAGAGGAGUGAAGAAGGACCCAGCUAAGAGGCAUCAGCUAAGCUGUAUAAGACACAUUGCACUUAGUGGUUCUGUUAGUAUGGCAUCUGCUGGAUU